GGAAGUGAGAAGUGUCCCCAGAGGAGCAGGAGAUGAGUGGAGGGGGUGCCUGGCAUGGGUAUGCCAGGAAGGGGAGGGGCUUAAGGAACAGGGGUUCAGAGAGGAAAGAAGGGGCUCAGGGCGGAGUAGGGGGAAGAGCUUCUAAAAGAGGAAGGGACUCAGAGGGUGGGGCGAUCAGAGAGAAAAGGGGGACGGAGUUCUCAGAAGAGAGAGGUUCAGAGAGAGGAAGGUUCUCAAGGGGGUUCAAGGCAAAGGGGCCUCAGUGAGAGAGGGCGCUCCCUAGGGCUCAGAGGGGUCCCGGGUCUCAGAACGGGGAAAGGUUGGGGGGAGGUCUUUGAGAAGAAGGGAUGCAGAGAGGGGAGGGGCUUCGAGGAGAGGCGGGGCCUCAAUAGGGGGCAGGGUUUCCGGGAGGACACUCCUCGAGGAGGGGGCUGGAGGGGGGCGGGUCUGCAACGCAGGCGCACCCUUCUUGAUGAGCUCCAAGGACUCCUGCCGUUUCUCCAGGCCGAGCUUCUCCCACUGCUCCGUUUGGUCCAGGCAGAACCGGAGAGGAGGAUGGCCACAGCGCUCUCCCAUAAGGCCCUGCGUCACCACCCAGGCCUCGACCCCUCUGCGGGGGCUGACUCACCUUUGCCCUCCUGUUGGGGGUUCAGUGUGUGAACGGCCACAGUCUUGUUAACUCUGACUCCUUCCGGCUGAACCAUGUUGGGAUGGGGGGUGGGGGGAGGUCAGGGAAAUAAAAGAACAGACAGACACAACUGGUCAGCGAAGACACUGUUCCUCACAGAGGCACAACGGCAUCACCCAUCCUAGCUGUGUGAUCAGGAGUCAGUUACUUAACUCUUCUGUGCCUCAGCCUCCUCCCUUCGAAAGAGGAAGCGAUACAAACAGCUACUUCAUAUGGUUGUCCUGGGAAUUAAUCACAAAAUUAUACGUUGCUAACAAAAUAACACACAUUUUUAAAAGCU